rnacentral:rRNA from 1 species
GACGUAGGGCGCGAGCGUUGUCCGGAUUUAUUGGGCGUAAAGAGCUCGUAGGCGGCUAUACAGGUCCGCUGUGAAAACUCGAGGCUCAACCUCGAGACGUCGGUGGAAACCGUAUGGCUAGAGUCCGGAAGAGGAGAGUGGAAUUCUUGGUGUAGCGGUGAAAUGCGUAGAUAUCAAGAGGAACACCUGCGGCGAAGGCGGGUUGCUGGGCCGACACUGACGCUGAUGCGCGAAAGCCAGGGGAGCGAACGGG